AUUAGCAAAGCUAUACCAAAAAUAGGUUCACGUAAGAAAGUGCCUAUUAGUUUGCGUAGGAAUGCCCGUUUUAGUUUACGGAAGAGUGCACGUAGAAUAACAAAAGGGGUUAUUCAUGUGAAAGCUAGUUUCAACAAUACCGAAAUCAUAACAUUAACAAUUCUAUAUUCGAAUUUGAGAUAUAUAUAUAUACCGGACCUGAGUAGUAAUGUUGACUCAUGCGAGUCACUCCUUCUUCGCUUUGACUUCUUGGCUGGCUUGAUGCUCAGUCUGGCCAAUGGGAUGACCCCCUUUUCUCUACUUCGUUUAGCUUUGCAAAUGAGAAAGGUUCUUUUAGGCGACUUCAAACCCCAUAUUCAUACCACUUUCCCACCUAUGUAUUAUUUUUAA
rnacentral:rRNA from 1 species